rnacentral:lncRNA from 1 species
CUACCCCUUAGGCCCUGAACCUCUGUCCCGUAGUCACAUCUUCGAACCGGAGCGUCAGUAGGCCUUCUUUGCACAUGUCCAAACCACCAUAACCGAUUUUCUCUCAUUUUUCCUUCAAUUUCGGCUACUCCUACUUUACCUCGGAUAUCCUAAUUCCUAAUCUUAUCGUUUCUCGUGUGCCCACACAUCCAACGAAGCAUCCUCAUCUCCGCUACACCCAUUUUGUGUACGUGUUGAUGCUUCACCGCCCAACAUUCUGUGCUAUACAGCAUCGCCG